GUCCACGCCCUAAACGAUGUCAACUAGGUGUUGGGUGGGUAAAACCAUUUAGUACCGGAGCUAACGCGUGAAGUUGACCGCCUGGGGAGUACGGCCGCAAGGUUAAAACUCAAAGGAAUUGACGGGGACCCGCACAAGCGGUGGAUGAUGUGGAUUAAUUCGAUGCAACGCGAAAACCUUACCUACCCUUGACAUGUUCAGAAGCCUGAAGAGAUUUGGGUGUGCCCGAAAGGGAACUGGAACACAGGUGCUGCAUGGCUGUCGU
rnacentral:rRNA from 1 species